CUCCCUACACCCCCACAAGUGAGAAAAUUUCAUCAGUCCCUGAAGUGCAGAAAGUAGACCCUUCCCAUCUGUAGCCAAAAUGUGGUGCGACUGUUUAAUCCAGAUACGAAUUUUGGAGAACAUUGUAAACCCAGCAGGGGCGUAAGGGAGAGUAGGGAGAAGUUUGUCCCUAAUGUACAGGUUAUGUUCUUACUAUACUAGAAAGGCAAGUGGCUGGGAACUGAAAUGAGCUGAGGAGUGGACGCAAGGGAAGGCUUUGAAAAGGAAGGAAGGGCUCUUGGAGCCGGGAGGGAUAACACUGAGUGGAGGAGAGAAGAAGCAGCGGAGAAGAAGGCAGAAGAAAAAUCGGGGACGCGUCUUUAAAGACGGAUAGUAUUGAGACAAGCGUGGAGGAAGAAAGCAGCCAAGCGCCGCGUCUCUGCCAAGCUUUCUCUAGGCCCUGGGGAAGAGAGAAGGCUCUA
rnacentral:lncRNA from 1 species